UCCAGAUUGUGGCUUACUAGUUCCCGCCCAGGGCCUCAGAAUCUUCUACCUCUAGUUAGAAAACAAGCUCCAAGUUAUACUCAGGAAGAGAAAAAAAUUAAAAGUUCCAGUAGGCCGAGAAGCCUAUGAUCCACCGUGUUGAAGGAAGAUUUGCUUCACCUCACCCCCGCAACCUCCCCGCGGUAAUACUAAGUUGUACAAACGCUGUGAAGAAGACCCGAAGACUAGGUUGUCAACUGUUGGGGCCUACCUGCGCCAGACUUCCUCCUCACUGGCCAGCUUUUUCACCCCCAGUUAGCCACCAGGGGGCCGCCUGCUUGGAACAAGUGGUGUAGACGCCACAGCUUUUCUCCAAACCAACCAAAACAUUCCGGGGCAGCUUUGGAGCAAAGCCCAGGAACUUCCCUGCAAAGGAGAACAGCUCUCCAACUACAGAAGCCUGCAAGUCCUAUGGUGCAGCCUUAUUAAGAGUAGAGAAGAAAGCACGGAUUUCUCACCGAGGACCAAAGGGAAAUGGGGUCUCUGGGGCCUGCAACUUUCUUAAAAGUGCAUCAGUGAAACUCUGCUCAUCCAGCGGGGUGGUUGUUAAUGCUGUCAGCAGGGGUGGGGGGGCCUCCCACCCCUUUCCCUGGGACGCUCAGAAGAAGCGAGAAUAAAACAUACAUGUCACUGGCUGGAAAUCUAGAGAACCUUCCAAUAAAUAACCUAUACAUUGUCAGGCAGCUGAGGAUCCAUAUCGUCAUAACUCUAUUAUAUUGCGUGUUACACGAAUAGAUAUGAAUAUUAAAUUAUGAUGUC
rnacentral:lncRNA from 1 species